CUGAGGUUGCCUUAAACAAAAGUUUGCUGGUUGCCAGAGUGUGCAGACAGACACAUUAUUCUCCUGCUCAGUGGUUAAUCAUUAUUGUAGGCCCUUUUGGCUGCUGUUCUUGGGAACUACAUACCAUUAAAGGCUUUUUUUCCUGUUUGCAUUUGCACUGCCAAUAGGAACAGAGUUGAGAUCAUGGCCUUGUGGGUUUCUUAGAUUUUUAUGUUGCUUUGAGUCAAAGUCACAUAAAAUUAUGAUUGAAAUCUCAACUAUAGUACCAUUCCAUUUGCCUGUGCUUCCUUAGAGUUUUUAAAAAGCUGAUACAAGGUAAUACAUAAAUUUGUUUCUUCAAGACUGUUUAAAGGUGCAGCCUUCAACAUACGCUCAUGUCAUGCUAGAUUCCUGUUGUGCUUCGAAAGACCCUUAAAUCAACACUGUAAAGAUGACAGUUGUCCUUUUCAUAGCCUGGCAUUAUCAAAAAAACAGUCUAGUAAGAUGUCCAGUUAAUUUUGGAAUUCCAACGGUUGUAAAUCAAAAUAGCUCUGGAUAUAACUGGGUAGAGCUACAACCUGUUAUAGAAAUCUGAAUGACAGAACAAACUUAUUGUUCUCAUCAGUGAGAGCUUUAAGUGUAGUAUGAUCUUUUACAGAUAAUAUAUGGUUAAUUUCUCUUAAUACUGACAAAAUACUGCCUUAAGAAGACUGUUUCACAUCAGUAUCUUGGUUGUUUGCAAAGGUUUGCUGAACAGCCCUCCUUGGUCCAUCAUGCUAUCAAACUUGCCCCAUAUCAGAUAAAUUGUUAAAGGAUUGGCCUGACACAGGGGUGAUCAGGUGCAAAUCUCUAUAGAAGGAAGGGAGUAAAAUAAAAAUGAUGUUACUGUUCCUGCAGUGCAGAAAAGACAGUUUCUCCAAUAG